GCUGGUGUAGCUCAGUCGGCAGAGCGGCUGACUUGUAAUCAGCAGGUCGUGGGUUCAAUUCCUACCACCAGCU
rnacentral:tRNA from 1 species